ACAUGCCUACAACAUAGUUUUAAUGCACCAUAUCCCAUUAGAAAUACAUAGUUAAGCACACUUGGGCUAUAGUAAUAUUGGGAUGGGUGACCACCCAAGAAGUCCUAGUGUUUUACAUGCC
rfam:Picea glauca, whole genome shotgun sequence.